CUUGUUGGCUGUCGUCCGGCUGAGCUGUCGGUGAGGCCACAUCCAAGGAAAGCCCGGAUAGAGAGAGAGAGGCAGAGACACAAGCAGAGGGAGAAGCAGGAUCACUGUGGGGAGCCCGAGGUGGGACUCGAUCCCGGGACUCCAGGAUCACACCCCGGGCUUCAGGCGGCGCUAAACCGCUGCGCCACCGGGGCUGCCCAAGGACGGCGUUAAAGGACAGGAGGAAGCGACUUUCCGCUGAGCGAGGCAGGUGGCCCCGGCCGGGCCCUGCGGUUCUCAGGACUCUGGUGCUCCUGGCUUGUUCCGGCCAUAAGAUGUCAGAAUGACUCACCUUUUCCUUUGUCCUGUGCAAGCAGUCACAGAACUGAGGCAACAAACAGGUAGGUGUGUUCCAAGAAAACUGUUUACCAGUCAGGCCUAUGACCGACCAAAUUGUGCCAGUUCCUGCUGUAGAGGCUUCAAAACAUCACUUCCAAAUACUCGAUAGGUACUGUUUUGUGCAUCAAGUUGCAUUCUUUUUUUUUUUAAAGGAUUUUAUUUAUUUAUUCAUGAGAGACACAGAGAGAGAGGCAGAGACACAGGCAGAGGGAGAAGCAGGCUCCAUGCAGGGAGCCCAAUGUGGGAUUAGAUCCCAGGACUCCAGGUUCACGCCCUGAACCAAAGGCAGAUGCUCAACCACUGAGCCACCCAGGCAUCCCAAUCAAGUUGCAUUCUUUCAGGAACACUUAAAUUUAUACCAUCCCUCGGAUGCCAGGCUUGAUUGCUUGCUUGUUAGUGAUCACCAGAGCACUCUGUUUUAAAGAUAGACUUUUCCUUUGGCAUAAGAAAAGUCACAUAUGGGAUGUGAUUUUGAUAUGUGAAAAGUUAUAUAUGGGAUGAGACUCAGAAUAUCUUAUGUCACAGGACUCUUUCUAACAAUUGCUUCAUUUCUGUUAAUAUGUGCAUGAUAAACUUUUGUAUAUAAUUUUUGUGGGGAUGUGUUUCAAGGUAAGGGUAAGCUUUUCAGCUUGGUUUUCUCAGUCAGGACAAGUAUACAUACUUUUUGGUGGAUACUGUAAAUUCUGUUAGAUAAUUCUUGUGACACAGAGCAGUUUGUGAAUCACCUAUUUAAGAACUUCUAAAAAUUAUGGAGAAAAAUAAGGAAUAAAUUUAUUUUUAUUGCUUAUAUACUUGCUUCAAAAAGAAUAUCCUGGGAAUCCCUGGGUGGCUCAGCGGUUUGGCACCUGCCUUUGGCCCAGGGAGUGAUCCUGGAGUCCCGGGAUCGAGUCCUGAGUCAGGCUCCCUGCAUGGAGCCUGCUUCUCUUUCUGCCUGUCUGUGUCUCUGCCUCUCUCUGUGUCUUUCAUGAAUGAAUGAAUGAAUGAAUAAAUCUUAAAAAAAAAAGAAUAUCCUAUCCAUUUUUAUCUGCCUUCGCACCAGUAUAGUAUUUUGCUUUAUCUUGUAUUGUGUGGGACUUAAAUGGUUUUCCUGUUGUAACUCUAUUUUUGUUUUCCUUUUCUUUUUACGUACCAUACUAUAAUGCUUUUGGUGGUGAGUUGCAAUUGUUGCAUGUUCCACAAAGGGUCAUUGAAUUCCUUUAAAAGGAAUUAAUUCCUGUUAAAACUAGGUUGUGUGGCAGGGACAGGGAAACAAUGGCCAUCAAAACAGACGUAGUACUUGCCACCACAGGGCUUACAGUCUACCUGGGAAUACAGGUUUCAGAUGAAUUACUGGCACAUUUAUGACAGGAACAUAGAAUGGGUUAAUAUGAGGUGGUAAUAUCUAUUGGGAAGGACUGAUAUUUACGUCGUGAAGGGAAACGUGAGUGGGAUUUACCUAAGCAGGUUUUUUAUUAGGGCUGAGGAUUUGUAGAACAGAUAAAAAUGUCAGAUGAAGGGAACUUUAUGAGCAAAAUAUACCUAGUUGGAAGCUUAGUGUAUUUCUGGAACUGAGGCAAGAGUGUUGGCAGAAGAUGAGCAGAAAGCAAGUGUUGGGAGAUAGAGUGGAGAGCAAGGACAGGACUAGGGGAACAAGUGAGGCAGUCUAGCCAAUAUUCUAAGGUCAGGGACACUUCAGAAGUGCCAAAGCCUAGGAAUGAUUUGAUUCCAUUUACAACUUAAAUAGAAUCCACUAACUUCCACUUUGAGAAUGAACUUCAGGAAAAAUGAAAAUGAGGGCACAGAGUCAGGAUAGAAUCUUAGGAUGCGGCCCACCUGGGUGGCUCAAUGGUUGAGCGUCAGCCUUUGGCUCAGGUGUGAUCCCAUUGUCCUGGGAUCAAGUCCCAUAUCGGGCUCUUUGCGUGGAGCCUGCUUCUCCCUCUGCCUUUCUCUUCUGUCUGUCAUGAAUAAAUAAAUAAAAUAUUUUUUUAAAAAAGGAUCUUAGGAUGCAUGAGUUGGAUUUUUUUGUUUUUUAGAAUGGAUACGUUUUAAAACAUGGGCCCCUUGGUCCCCUGGAUGAGGAUGAUUAUUAUUAUUUUUUUUUAUGAUAGUCGCACAGAGAGAGAGAGAGAGAGAGAGAGAGGCAGAGACACAGGUAGAGGGAGAAGCAGGCUUCAUGCACCGGGAGCCCGACGUGGGAUUCGAUCCCGGGUCUCCAGGACCGUGCCCUAGGCCAAAGGCAGGCGCUAAACCGCUGCGCCACCCAGGGAUCCCGAGGAUGAUUAUUACAGAAAAGAAAAAUAAAUGAUUUGAGAGUCUUGUAGAAGGUAAAAGUAAAAUAAUUUCUUCACUUACACAUUUACUGAAGGAUAUACCCUCACUUAGUUAAUGCUUGAGUGUUUGAUUAGUGUUUAGGGAAAAAAUAAAAUCCAGGGCAGUUCUUAGCGAACUUGUAAACUAUUAGAGGGGGUGAACAUCUAUCCAAGAGUCGACUGAUUUGUGAGCAUUUAUUAAGUGUCUACAAUGUGCUCAGGUGUGUUUUGAGGUACUUCCAUGGUAUUUUCCAUAGUGCUGCACCAAUUUACAUUCCCUCCAACAGUAUGCAAGGAUUCCCUUUUCUCCACAGUCUUACCCACAGUUGUUAUUUCUUAUGUUUGUAUUUAUUUAUUUAUGAUUUCAUUUAUUUAUUCACAAAAGACACACAGAAAGAGAGGCAGAGACACAGGCAGAGGAGAAGCUGGCUCCAUGCAGGGAGCCUGAUGUGGGACUCAAUCCCAGGAUUCCGGGAUCAUGUCCUGAGCCAGAGGCAGACACUCAACUGCUGAGCCACCCAGACAUACCUCUUAUGUUUUUAAUAAUAGCCAUUCUAACAGGUAUGAGAUGAUAACCUCAGUUUUGAUUUAUGAUUGUAAAUUGUUUUAAUUUUUUUUAAGAUUCUCUGUUUAUUCAUGAGAGACACAGAAAGAGAGGCAGAGACAUAGGCAGAGGGAGAAACAGGUUCCCUGCAGAGAGCCCGAUAACGGGACUCAAUCCCAGGACCCCAGGAUCAUGACCUGAGCCAAAGGCAGGCACUCAAUCACUGAGCCACCCAGGUACCCCUUAAUUUCUCUUUCUGAAAGGUCAUUAGUGCAGAGAAAUAAAACAGACUUUUUUCUUAAGAUUUCUUUUUGUUUAUUUGAGAGAGAGAGAGCAUGAGCAGGGGGAGGGGCAGAGGGAGGGAGAGGGAGAGGGAGAGGCAGACUCCCCACAGAGCAAGGAGCCUGAUGCAGGGCUCAAUCCCAGGACCCCAGGAUCAUGACCUGAGCCGAAGACAGUAACCACCUGAGCCACCCAGGCACCCUGGAACAGACUUUUUUAUAUUGAUUCUAUAUCCUGCAGCUUUACUGAGUUUGUUUAUUCUAACAGUUUUUUGGUGGUAUCUUUAGGGUUUUCUCUAUGUAAUAUCAUGGCAGAGAGCAACAGUCUUUCCAAUUUACAAGCCUUUUCUAUUUCCUGCAAGCUAGAACAUCCAAUACUAUGUUGAAUAAAAGUGGCAAGAGUGGACAUCCUCAUCUUUCUCCAAAUAUUGGAGGAAAAGCUUUUGGCUUUUCACCAUUAAGUAUGGUGUUAGUUGUGAGGUUUGUCAUAUGUGGCAUUUAUUAUGUUGAGGUAUGUUUCAUCUGUACACUUUGUUGAGAAUUUUAUUAUAAAUCAAUGUUGAAGUUUGUCAAAUAUUUUUUCCUUCAUUAAUGUAGUAUAUCACCCAUAACUGAUUUCUAGAUGUUAAAUAAUGCCUCCCUGGAGUAAGUCCCACUUGAUCAUGAUGUAUAAUCCUUUUUUUUAAUUUUUAUUUAUUUAUGAUA